ACCACAUGUAAUAUGACAUGUAUUAAGUAAAAUACAUCUUUAUGGAUCAGGGAAAACUUAGCAGCCUUAAUGUGCAUUUAAUUUAUAAUUAGUUGAACUAAUGUUUAGUUGAUUUAAUUUCAGCAUUUAGUCUCUACGAACCACAACUGUGCCAGGAUUUAGCUAGAUGCAUACUUUACUUAGUUC